UGAAGACUGCGAGUGGGGUUCCGAUUCGGGGGGAUCCAGCUCUGGCUCCAGCUUUGUCUCACCGUGUAGCCUCGGGCCGAGCCCUUCCUUUGUCUGGAGCUCAGCCUGCCCAGUGAUAGGGUCAGAUGGAGUGAGCUCGACUGGUCCUUCCUGAUUUGACAAGAACAACCUGAAUUGCUGCUUUCAAAAUACCAAAGAGGAGACUGGCCCCCUCCCCGCCCCCAAGCCUGUUAAUCAGACCUCUCAUCUUCAGACCCAGCCAGAGUUAUCUGUAUAUUCUUUUGUUGGGCAAAGACUCGGUCCUCUUUCCCCACACCUGAAUCCGUGAAAUAAAGGAGCUCAAAAUCAAAUAAGCCUGUGAACGCUAACAGACCAUUUGAGUGACGGGUACUUGGCUAGGGCAGCUGGAGUCCUCACUGACUGACACACCAGAUCACCUGUUCAGUGCUGCCCAGAGGAGCACCAUCGGGGAUAACAACUUUGUUCCCUUGCUUUUAGCUUCUGAACUUGCAGGCCCGAACCAUUAGCCAUUCUCUCCUGCUCCCGACGUUGCUCUGUGUUGGCUUGCCGCCCAAAGUCAAUCUGACUCAGUCCCUCUACAAAGGGAAAAAAACCAAAAACAUGUCAUAGAAAGCCUGCUGUUUCUGGUAGCAUCUGGACAUGAGGCUGGCCAGGUGGUCAAACAGUUUAUACUUAAGUGUGAACUGUGUUAAGGAAGAGCCUGCCUGCAAAAAGCAGGGACCGUGCCAGGCUCAGUGGAUUCUACCCCUCACUUAAAAAAUGGUCUGCCUGCCGGGACUUCCCUGGUGGCGCAGUGGUUAAGAAUCCGCCUGCCAAUGCAGGGGACACGGGUUCGAGCCCUGGUCCGGGAAGAUCCCACAUGCCGCGGAGCAACUAAGCCCAUGAGCCACAACUACUGAGCCUUGUGCCACAACUACUGAAGCCCGUGUGCCCAGAGCCCAUGCUCCGCAACAAGAGAAGCCACCGCAAUGAGAAGCCCGCACACAGCAACGAAGACCCAACACAGCCAAAAAUAAAUAAGUUAAAAAAAAAAAGGUCUAUAAAAGGAGAGCCUACUCUAGUAAAAAACGUCACUAAACAGCUUAUAACAAAACCCAGCAGGCCCCUGCCACACACAGCUCUCUACCCUGUAGUCCUACUCCCUAGAGGCAACAAUUUUCAACUCUUUAAAAUUUUGAGAAGGAGCACAGAAAAGCACUGGAAUGGGACUAUUUGGCAUCCAACCCAGCUCUUCCACUUACCGGCUGGGUGACCUUGGUCAACUGAAUUAUAUUAUCUUUUACCUUGGUUUCCACAUCUGUAAGAUGGGAAUGAUAAUUGUACACAUCUCAUGAGAUAACACAUAAUUGCCUGGCACGUGGUCAACAGUGAUGUGAAGAAGGAUUUAACUUGAAAGCAGCUGUGAGCACAGCUGUGGAUGUUUAGCUGCACACUGUACAAAUAAAUUAAGCCAUGAAUGUGAGUUGGAGGAAAUGACAAGAACACAGAAGAGAUCUGUCUCUUUCCUUUGUUUUAAGGCCAAACUCUGUAUUUGCUCCUAGUCCCAUUCCCUUCCUGUCUCUUCUAGAACCUUGUCUCUAUAAUUAUCCUGACCCUCAAGGCAAGCAUACAUCUAUUAGUUUUUUUCUUUCUAUGAAAUAUAUACAGGCUUUUCGUAUCUUGGGGGGAAAAUCCUUUAUUUCAUCCUCCUGCCCUUUACAGCUACCAUUCUGUUUCAUUCUCUCUACUGCUUGAUUUCCUAAUUAACACACACACUGCCUCCCAUUCCUUCACAACUCCCUCACUUUUCGGCUGUCUCCCAGCUUCCAUCGCUACUCUUCUGACACAGCUGUCACCAGGGUCAUCAAAGACCACCUCAUUAACCACCAGUGGGUCUUUGCUCAAUCAGUCUUGAUCCAGAGCACUUGACUCAGUUCACCGUCCACUCCUUAACUCUCACAUACCAAACCACCUCGUCACCCAACCCUUCCUUACGGCUGUCAAUUGUAUCAUUUCCCCAGACCAUUCAGGAAUAAACCUUAAACUCAGGGUUGGCUCAACUCCUUUCUCUGCCCACCCCCAUAUUACUUUUGACUGUUACUGCAAAUGUGAGAAAUUCAUUGAAGAUAGCUUUUUAGAAAACUUUAUCAGGAUAUGGAGGAGUGGGGGACAGCUAAUGGACCCCAAAGGUAGAAUGCAUCUGGAACCCAGGAGAGCCCAGGACUGCAGACUCGAAGCCAAUGAUGUGAGUCCUUUUUCGCUAGCUUGCCUCCUGGAUUUCUCGUGAUCGGCACCCCAAAGGUGUCAGACACUCCCACACCCAGCUAGUCACCAGGUCCUGUAAAAAUCGCCAUCUUUUGUGUCAGCCACUUGAAUCUGUCUCCUCUCCAGCUUUCCUUGCACUGCCUUUCCCACGUUGUUUACCUCCUGAUCACUGUUUCUGCCAUUGCCUCUUCCUCCUGACGCUGAGUACGGCAUUGCCCACAUUUCAGUUCUUUGUCUGUCACUCUCUUCUUGACCUUCAUUCUGGGCGGCUGACUCCGAAACAGGAGUAGAGUGGUUAAGAGCUUGAAUUCUGGAGUCCUAAUGGCCUGGGUUUGAA